rnacentral:rRNA from 1 species
GAUUAGAACGGAACAGCACGACACGACACGACACGCCUCGACUUUCCUUCCUUCCUUCACACCAUCAUAGUGGUAGUCGAGCGUUAUUAUGGACGUGCGGGUAAAACAACACAUCGGGAACAGUCGCUUGGAGUGUCGACUUUUGGGGUGGGUGGGGCCGGGGAAGGGGGAGAGGAGGGGUAGGGUAAGGGUGGAGGUAGGUAGCUAGCUAGUCAGAAAGGACGCACGCACGAAGCAGAGAUCGUCGGCGGAAACGCGCACAACUAGACAUCUGCAUGCCCCCACUCCCUCCUCCUCUAGUUAAGUACCGACCGCGCCCGCCCCCCCGACGACGCCGACGCCGACGCCGCCACGUCGGUCGGCGGCGACGACCGCGCCCCUCCUCGUCGAGAAGCAGCCGGCCUCCGCCACCGUGACCGCCACGGCACCGCCUGGGCGCCCGCCUCCGCGACGCAACGGGUGCGACGCUGAGCCGGUUGUGGUUCAAGACGAUGAUGUUGUUGAUGAGCGACAGCGUCGGCGCGGUGAAGACGUUCCGGACGUUCGCGAUGACCUGCGCGCCCCCGUGCGAGGCGUUGCAGGGGCAGCCGCCUCCGACGGCGUUCUUGUUCGCGAGGUCCUCGUCGUUGCCUAGUCCCCCGGCCGGCCCGAGGACGCGGCAGCAGCGGAGGUGGUUGCGGCGACGGCCGCCGUAGUGCAGCAGAUGGAGGUACAGCGAGGGCGGCGGCCCGAGGGAGAGGAGCCGCGACCCGGAGGUGCCGGUGCCCUCGUCGAGGGACCGGAGCGAGGACGAGCCCUCGCCGCGGAGUCCGCCGCUGGUGGAGCCGGAGAAGGUGCGGUACGUCAGCCAGCAGAGCCUGCGGUGGCGGAUGCUCUACGUGGUCGUCGUGGUCUGGGUCCACCUAGUCGACGACCCCGAGCCGAUGCCGCGGCCGCUGCGGUUGCCGAGCGUCUAGGUGUAUUUCGGGACCGUCGUCGUGGAAGUUCUGCCUCGACCGCCAGAGAAACUGCCGAAGAUGCGCGGCGACGACAGGCCGAGGUAGCAGGGCCCUGACCUCCUCGACGUACACUUUCGGCUCCGGUGGCGGCCGCUCGUGGUGGUGGUGGUGGUGGUCUUCUUCCGCUGGCUACCCCUAGUCGUCUCGACCCUAGUUGUAGGCUGCAGCAGCAGAUUGCAGCUCCGAUUGUAGUACCGGAGCCUGCGCGAGUACCGGCGGCGGCGGCGCCGCAGGUACUUGGGCCGCCAGUCGUUGCGACGGUGCCGCGGCUGCAGGAGGGGAGAGUACAUGACCCCGUUGCCCUUGUAGCCGCCGAGCGGACGUCGCACCGGUCUAUACCGGUUGACGCCUAGGAGGUAACGUUGGAAGAAGAUCGGCUGGCAGGUCGCUCAGAGCUUGAGAGCUGCAUGCCUGAGCAACGGCGACCAGCAAUUGAACAGCUAAAAAGAGGAGGUAAAAAGGCCAAUUGAGAAAGGAACUGAUUUUAUUGUACAUUAAACACCCCCCCUUUCGAUUCUACUCUCUCUUAUGAGGCCCAUCGAUCUCUCCCUCUGCUAGAGCCUCAGCCUCCAGUCUUUCGUCACUAGGUUUUUCUUAGUAUCCCAAACAAGAGAAAGCGGCUACCUCUCUACCUAGGUGGUCAGGUCAGGUCAGGUACAAGAACACGCCGCAGCGGAAGUUAGGUAUUAGUUCUUCUGCUCCCGUACGUACGUAUCUAGUUGCGCCUCUUCUCCCUUCGUGCGUUCGUUCACAUUCAGAUCUGUGAGGACCGAUAUGACGAACUAAACGACGAAGAGGGAGAGGAACCCACAAAACAUAUAUUCCGUAUACCACAUCCACACCCCUCCUAUAUACUCUCGAUCGAUCGUUAUCGUACGUCGUCGUUACCACCACGUUCAUUACUCGGAGAGAGAGAGAUCGAAAGAGAGAGUAGAACCGUAAAAUUAAUCACACAAAUUAACCAAUGAGGUUAAACGGUUGAGAGCAAUCUACAUAUUCAAUUAUGAUCAUGAGGAGAGCACCUUCGAAUUAAUCUCUUGACAAAAACUCAAGAGUUCGUAACCAGUGGAAAAAUUUCCCAAAGAAGAAGGAAAGAGAGAAAGAGAGAGAAGAUCUCACCUAAAGAAAGUAAAAAGAACCCCAAUAGAAAACAAGUUUGAGACAACAUGGUCACUACUGUAACACUCAAUACUCCUUAAUUUGACCAUGACAACAGGACUACUACCAAGUAUGUUCAGGGGUAUAUACACACACAUUCAUUCUUACUUAUGAUAUACGUGCGUAAGAUAGUUGAACGAUCGAUAUCAAUGAAGUGAAAAUCACGUACCUACCUACAGAGUGAAAACCAGUACACGUCGUCGAAAUCGAUCGCUCGAAAUUAAGCGCGAGGGAGAACACCUACGCGCUCGCUCGCGUACUAGUCUAGAAACUUAAGACACGUAAAACCCUCUCCCGACAGAAUAAACACUUCCUAGCUAGGUAGCAUCCUAAGGGCGUACGUCACGGUGAGUACGUUCAAUCGCAAUAGUACAAAGACACUAGUCUUUGAAAAUACGGGUGCAAACGUCUAUCUGCCGCUCCCCAUUUUUAUGCCGACAAAUGUAUACGAACAAGAAAGGACGUACAGAGCAUCGGUAAAAACCUAGGCAUAAAACUACGAUCGUUACAAGUGCGACGACGAUGCACUCACAUGGUACAUUUCCUUUCCCUCUAUUUAAACCCUUCUUCUUCCAUUCGUUACACACACGAUCGAUCUUCCGUGAACUUUACCUCCCGUAAAUUAAUCCAACCCAAAACACACGUACAUCCUCAUAUAUUUUCCAUAAGACUAAACCUAAAUCUAAGAACCGUUUUUUCACGAACGUACAGUCAAAGUACGUAUAUAUCCUUUUAAAUAAAAGCGGGACAGAGAAUGAUAUAUAGAAAAUGAAUAUCAUUGUUUACUUUUUCAGGUGAUACUAAAAGUUAAAAGGUCAUUUGAAUGUUAACACGUGGAUUGGAUGAAUAUCAUUGUUGACUUUUUCGUUGUUAUAUAGUACAACUAUAGUAAAAGCGGAGACAAAUAUACACAUAUAUGGAUCUUCUCAUUUGACGUGACCGGCCUACACUAGACGUAUAGUGAAGCGGAAGAGUUCAAGAGAUUUUACUAAGGUAGUUAUAAAAGUCAAGUAAUAUAAUCAGGUGAUUAUACACAGUUCCCUCGCAAACUCUUAAGUUUGAAUGUUAACAUUAAAACUUGAUAGAGUUUUAUUAUAUAAUCACGAAAGGUAUAAAAGACGCAUCACAACCUAAUUUUUAUUAUCAAUCAGGUAAGUUAAUCGAUCGCUCAGUAAGUGUUUUUUUAAUCGAUCCCUCAGUAAAUACUUGAUAUAUCAUGAGGUAUACAAGACUUAAUAUUCUACAAGAUUGGAAUAAAAAAGC